rnacentral:lncRNA from 1 species
GGGAUCUCAGAGGCCAGACUGUCAACUCCCUUUCACAGAAAAAGAAAACCAGUCCCCAGGAGGGUAGGUCCAAGGUCACAAAGUUAAUGAAUGUUAGAAGCAGGAUUUGAACUCCAUGCUCGUGAAAAGGGGCAUCUGGUCUCAGCUGAACUCCUCACAUACCCUGCCACACCUGAGCUGCCACACUGGCUGCUUCCAAGAAGGCUUCCAGGGCCAAUCCCCGCCAGCCUGGGAGUUUCAGGAAGUCCUACAGCCAAUGGAGGGAAGGCAGGGCCUUCUCCAAUCUCUUCUUCCCAGUCUCUAGCCUUGGAUUGCGUACCACCAAUUCCCUCAGCUGAUGGCAUGCUCUGGAUACCAAGCCCUUCAUCGUCCUGGUUUCCCAACACUGGAAAUUUUCUGGCCCAUUAAUGUCCUUCUUAAACCAUGGUGCCCAGAACUGAACACAGGCCUCCUCAUCAACUCGUUUUACAGAAGAGGAAACAAGGGAAAUGGGGUAGUGACUUGCCCAGAAUCCCGCAGCUAGUGUCUGAGCCAGAUUCGAACUCAGGAAGAUGUCUUCCUGACUCCGGC